UGCAGAAUCUCGUGAAUCAUUGAGUCUUUGAACGCAAGUUGUGCCCGAGGCCUUGUGGCCGAGGGCACGCCUGCUUGGGCGUCA
rnacentral:rRNA from 1 species